rnacentral:rRNA from 1 species
GACGAACGCUGGCGGCGUGCCUAAUACAUGCAAGUUGAGCGCUGAAGGUUGGUACUUGUUCCAACUGGAUGAGCAGCGAACGGGUGAGUAACGCGUGGGGAAUCUGCCUUUGAGCGGGGGACAACAUUUGGAAACGAAUGCUAAUACCGCAUAAAAACUUUAAACACAAGUUUUAAGUUUGAAAGAUGCAAUUGCAUCACUCAAAGAUGAUCCCGCGUUGUAUUAGCUAGUUGGUGAGGUAAAGGCUCACCAAGGCGAUGAUACAUAGCCGACCUGAGAGGGUGAUCGGCCACAUUGGGACUGAGACACGGCCCAAACUCCUACGGGAGGCAGCAGGAGGGAAACUUCGGCAAAGGACGGAAGUCUGACCGGGCAACGCCGCGGGAGUGAAGAAGGGUGUCGGAUCGUAAAACUCUGUUGGUAGAGAAGAACGUUGGUGGGAGUGGAAAGCUCAUCAAGUGACGGUAACUACCCAGAAAGGGACGGCUAACUACGUG